rnacentral:rRNA from 1 species
GACGAACGCUGGCGGCGUGCCUAAUACAUGCAAGUAGAACGCUGAAGGAGGAGCUUGCUUCUCUGGAUGAGUUGCGAACGGGUGAGUAACGCGUAGGUAACCUGCCUGGUAGCGGGGGAUAACUAUUGGAAACGAUAGCUAAUACCGCAUAAUAGUAGAUGUUGCAUGACAUUUGCUUAAAAGGUGCAAUUGCAUCACUACCAGAUGGACCUGCGUUGUAUUAGCUAGUUGGUGGGGUAACGGCUCACCAAGGCGACGAUACAUAGCCGACCUGAGAGGGGGAUCGGCCACCCUGGGACUGAGACACGGCCCAGACUCCUACGGGAGGCAGCAGUAGGGAAUCUUCGGCAAUGGACGGAAGUCUGACCGAGCAACGCCGCGUGAGUGAAGAAGGGUUUCGGAUCGUAAAGCUCUGUUGUAAGAGAAGAACGAGUGUGAGAGUGGAAAGUUCACACUGUGACGGUAUCUUACCAGAAAGGGACGGCUAACUACGUG